UGGGGAAUAUUGCACAAUGGGCGCAAGCCUGAUGCAGCCAUGCCGCGUGUAUGAAGAAGGCCUUCGGGUUGUAAAGUACUUUCAGCGGGGAGGAAGGCGAUAAGGUUAAUAACCUUGUCGAUUGACGUUACCCGCCGAAGAAGCACCGGCUAACUCCGUGCCAGCAGCCGCGGUAAUACGGAGGGAGCAAGCGUUAAUCGGAAUUACUGGGCGUAAAGCGCACGCAGGCGGUCUGUCAAGUCGGAUGUGAAAUCCCCGGGCUCAACCUGGGAACUGCAUUCGAAACUGGCAGGCUAGAGUCUUGUAGAGGGGGGUAGAAUUCCAGGUGUAGCGGUGAAAUGCGUAGAGAUCUGGAGGAAUACCGGUGGCGAAGGCGGCCCCCUGGACAAAGACUGACGCUCAGGUGCGAAAGCGUGGGGAGCAAACA
rnacentral:rRNA from 1 species